AUUGAACGCUGGCGGCAGGCCUAACACAUGCAAGUCGAGCGGAUGACGGGAGCUUGCUCCUUGAUUCAGCGGCGGACGGGUGAGUAAUGCCUAGGAAUCUGCCUGGUAGUGGGGGACAACGUUUCGAAAGGAACGCUAAUAUCGCAUACGUCCUACGGGAGAAAGCAGGGGACCUUCGGGCCUUGCGCUAUCAGAUGAGCCUAGGUCGGAUUAGCUAGUUGGUGGGGUAAUGGCUCACCAAGGCGACGAUCCGUAACUGGUCUGAGAGGAUGAUCAGGCACACUGGAACUGAGACACGGUCCAGACUCCUACGGGAGGCAGCAGUGGGGAAUAUUGGACAAUGGGCGAAAGCCUGAUCCAGCCAUGCCGCGUGUGUGAAGAAGGUCUUCGGAUUGUAAAGCACUUUAAGUUGGGAGGAAGGGCAGUAAGCUAAUACCUUGCUGUUUUGACGUUACCGACAGAAUAAGCACCGGCUAACUCUGUGCCAGCAGCCGCGGUAA
rnacentral:rRNA from 1 species